GCGGCUGUGCCCGAGUGGUCUAAGGGGCCAGACUUGAACACAUCACACUGUCAGGCAUCUGGUGGCAUUUGCCUCACAGGUUCAAAUCCUGUCGGUCGCG